rnacentral:RNase_P_RNA from 1 species
GGAGUCGGCCAGACAGUCGCGUCACUCGCAAGAGUGCCGAGGAAAGUCCGGGCUCCAUAGGGCAAGGUGCCAGGUAACGCCUGGGCGGCGCAAGCCGACGGACAGUGCAACAGAAAGAUACCGCCUACGUUCCUUUCGGGGAGCCGGUAAGGGGUGAAAUGGUGCGGUAAGAGCGCACCGCGAGUCCGGUAACGGACCGGCACGGCAAACCCCACCUGGAGCAAGACCAAAUAGGGAUCCAUUGGCGUGGCCCGCGCUGGAUCCGGGUAGGUUGCUUGAGCGCUGCGGUGACGUAGCGCCUAGACGAAUGACUGUCCACGACAGAACCCGGCUUAUCGGCCGGCUCCGCCG